AAAGGACAAAAUAAAAAACCAAUAUUAUAUGUUCCUUCCUCGUUUUCUGCUUCAAUGUGAAAAUGCAGAGAACAACAAAACAAAAGAAAACUCUUUCCAUUCUUAAGUUUUUUAUAAAGAAAAUAAAAACCAAAGAAAUUUCUUCAUGAAACAGAUUAUAGAAAUCUUUGAAAUACAACAAGAAAACAAGACUAUAGAGACAAAGUGGAAAUGAAGAAGUUACCAGCGGAGGAUGGCGGUGAGUUUCCGACGGUGGUGAUGAUGCAAAAAAAAAAGUCGCUGCAACAACUUGAACGGACACUGGGGUGAUUUGCACGUGGAUGAUGUGGUUGGCUAUUGUGAUGAAGUUGUUGUUUUAUGAGAGUUAAAAUGGUGAUGAUGAU
rnacentral:lncRNA from 1 species